CGCCUGCCUAAGAGUUUGAUAAGACAUCUUGGCAUCACAGCCGCCUGUUGGAAUAACCCUGAGACCUCAGUUUCACUCUCUGUGAAACCUGGUCAAAGAUCUUGCUCAAGGUGUGGCAAAGAGUAAUCAAUAACUAAUGGCUGGGGCUGACUUUUGUUCUCCUGGUCAUAAAAGACCUUUGAAUUGCUUGGCCACUUUGGGUUUCUCAGGAAAAGUGAUAACACUAAGCCAAAGUUCAUCCCAGUUGGCCAGGCUGCCUCUCUCCAGCACCCACAAGGCUGGAGGGAGAGAGGGAAUGACCACCGUCCCAUGAGUGUUGGGCUGGGUUCACUGGGGUUAGGGUCACCAAGGGUAGGAGCCAUUUCCCCAUUGACCCACCUAUGCAUCACACCACAGAAAUAUCCCGGUGCUCUGUUUAUCUCCCACCCCUCCCCCGACACAGCGGAAGGACGUAAGUUUUCACGCAUAGUGGACAGAGGACUUAGACCGAAUGAGAUGUUGGUUGGCCUCAUCUCCCCAAGCUGUCUAGAAGCUGCUUAAGGGCAGGCCCCACAACUGGUUGGUUCAUCUCUAUGUCCGCAGUGCAAAACGUCGCAUCUCUUAAGGCAAUUAGUGUCUGUCCGAAUUCUUGGGGAAGCUGAGGAAACCAGGGCUGUGACUGUAAUAUUCUGCUGUACCUAUGAUCUGUGCCCAUGAUGCUCUGCUGUAUCCAUGAUGCUGUGCCCAUGAUGCCAUGUCAUGCUCUCUGUACCUUGCCAUGCCUGUGACACUAUGCCCUCUCCCUGGGAUUCUGCAGUCUUCCUGGCUGCUCUAGAAGCCAGGGAGAUUCCACCCCAUGUAAAAUGCUCCUGGGGUGGCCUGCUGACCUGGAUUCUCCUCUCAACAUCUUGAGCCCAACCACCUCUGCUGUCAAACUACACAUGGCCCAGGUGACUUCUCUCACAAAUGGGAGAGGGAAUCAGAGCAUUUCAUAGUCAGAGCAGAGGCCCUGGGGAGAUGCCCAUCUGCAGCAGACUUGGGACAACUGAUCCAAUUCAAGUCCAUCAUUGUGCAGAGUGGGAUUGUGAGCCUCAGAGUGGAGAGAAGAUUCAUCCAACUGUGGGUUCGGUGCCAGCCAGAGUGGGACUCCACCCUGACUCCCAGUUCAGAGCUCAUUUUGGUGGGGGGUCCUGAAGUUCUACCAUCAUAGUUACCCCUUGCUUGGGUCUCCAAAAUGUCCCUGUUCCAAUGUAUAUCUGUUACUUAAAUAACACAUUUGCAACAUAGCUAUCAGAGGGGUUGGUUUUUAUUUAGAAAGAAGCUAAUAAGUUAUAUUUUAUUUAUUAUAAAGACA
rnacentral:lncRNA from 1 species